GACGAACGCUGGCGGCGUGCCUAAUACAUGCAAGUUGAGCGCUGAAGGUUGGUACUUGUACCGACUGGAUGAGCAGCGAACGGGUGAGUAACGCGUGGGGAAUCUGCCUUUGAGCGGGGGACAACAUUCGGAAACGAAUGCUAAUACCGCAUAAAAACUUUAAACACAAGGUUUAAGAUUGAAAGAUGCAAUUGCAUCACUCAAAGAUGAUCCCGCGUUGUAUUAGCUAGUUGGUGAGGUAAAGGCUCACCAAGGCGAUGAUACAUAGCCGACCUGAGAGGGUGAUCGGCCACAUUGGGACUGGGACACGGCCCAAACUCCUGCGGGAGGCAGCAGUAGGGAAUCUUCGGCAAUGGACGAAAGUCUGACCGAGCGACGCCGCGUGAGUGAAGAAGGUGUUCGGAUCGUAAAACUCUGUUGGUAGUGAAGAACGUUGGUGAGAGUGGAAAGCGCAUCAAGUGACGGUAACUACCCAGAAAGGGACGGCUAACUACGUG
rnacentral:rRNA from 1 species